AAAGACUAAGGGCAUUCAAAAACGAAUACUUGCCAUUGAAGAGCAAUGUCACAAAAAUGUGGAUGAGAAGUACGCGCUGCAAACGGAACUAAACGAUCUUGAGUGGCGGAACGGAAAGGCUAUUGACAUAAACAGCAA
rnacentral:lncRNA from 1 species